rnacentral:rRNA from 1 species
UACGUAGGGUGCAAGCGUUGUCCAGAAUUAUUGGGCGUAAAGAGCUUGUAGGCGGUUUGUCGCGUCUGCUGUGAAAUUUCGGGGCUCAACCCCGAACUUGCAGUGGGUACGGGCAGACUAGAGUGUGGUAGGGGAGACUGGAAUUCCUGGUGUAGCGGUGAAAUGCGCAGAUAUCAGGAGGAACACCGAUGGCGAAGGCAGGUCUCUGGGCCACUACUGACGCUGAGAAGCGAAAGCAUGGGGAGCGAACAGG